GAUGAACGCUGGCGGCGUGCCUAAUACAUGCAAGUCGAGCGAACAGAUAAGGAGCUUGCUCCUUUGACGUUAGCGGCGGACGGGUGAGUAACACGUGGGUAACCUACCUAUAAGACUGGAAUAACUCCGGGAAACCGGGGCUAAUGCCGGAUAACAUUUAGAACCGCAUGGUUCUAAAGUGAAAGAUGGUUUUGCUAUCACUUAUAGGUGGACCCGCGCCGUAUUAGCUAGUUGGUAAGGUAACGGCUUACCAAGGCAACGAUACGUAGCCGACCUGAGAGGGUGAUCGGCCACACUGGAACUGAGACACGGUCCAGACUCCUACGGGAGGCAGCAGUAGGGAAUCUUCCGCAAUGGGCGAAAGCCUGACGGAGCAACGCCGCGUGAGUGAUGAAGGUCUUCGGAUCGUAAAACUCUGUUAUUAGGGAAGAACAAAUGUGUAAGUAACUGUGCACGUCUUGACGGUACCUAAUCAGAAAGCCACGGCUAACUAUGUG
rnacentral:rRNA from 1 species